GAAAUGCGAUAAGUAGUGUGAAUUGCAGAAUUCAGUGAAUCAUCGAAUCUUUGAACGCACAUUGCGCCCCUUGGUAUUCCAUGGGGCAUGCCUGUUCGAGCGUCAUUUGUACCUUCAAGCUUUGCUUGGUGUUGGGUGUUUGUCUCGCCUCUGCGCGCAGACUCGCCUCAAAACAAUUGGCAGCCGGCGUAUUGAUUUCGGAGCGCAGUACAUCUCGCGCUUUGCACUCAUAACGACGACGUCCAAAAGUACAUUUUUUACACUCUUGACCUCGGAUCAGGUAGGGAUACCCGCUGAACUUAAGC
rnacentral:misc_RNA from 1 species